rnacentral:lncRNA from 1 species
UUCUAAACUAAUUGAAAUAUUUAUUUGAGGUAAGACUUUUAUGUCAAGUAACAGAGCUACAUAUAUUAUUCAUCAUAGAGACAAGAAAAUUCAGUACCAUACAAGUUGAUCAUCUAAAAAUGGAAGUAAAAAAAGGUACCAUACAAGUCAUAUGAAAUCAUGAUAUGAGAAAAUCUAAGCAAGAGAUAAUACUAAUGAUACUCUUGACUUAAGCAUGAGUAGAAUCAUCAUCAUCAUCAUCAUCUUUUUUCCUUGCUAAACAUUGUUUUCCCUGCUUUAACAAACUCUGUCAUUAUCUUAGCUUUGAUCUGUCCUCUUUUUGGAGGAACUCUAACACUAUUCUUAGUAACUAUUGAUUCAUCAUGUUCACUUGUUCUUUCCAUUGCAGUUCAAAUAAUGAAGGAGAGUAUUUUUUUUUUUGAGAAUAUGUAGCAGAACAAAAACAGUUAUGCCAAAUUAUGAGCGAAAGAAAG